GAUGAACGCUGGCGGCGUGCCUAAUACAUGCAAGUCGAGCGUACAGACGAGGAGCUUGCUCCUCUGACGUUAGCGGCGGACGGGUGAGUAACACGUGGAUAACCUACCUAUAAGACUGGGAUAACUUCGGGAAACCGGAGCUAAUACCGGAUAAUAUAUUGAACCGCAUGGUUCAAUAGUGAAAGACGGUUUUGCUGUCACUCAUAGAUGGAUCCGCGCCGCAUUAGCUAGUUGGUAAGGUAACGGCUUACCAAGGCAACGAUGCGUAGCCGACCUGAGAGGGUGAUCGGCCACACUGGAACUGAGACACGGUCCAGACUCCUACGGGAGGCAGCAGUAGGGAAUCUUCCGCAAUGGGCGAAAGCCUGACGGAGCAACGCCGCGUGAGUGAUGAAGGUCUUCGGAUCGUAAAACUCUGUUAUUAGGGAAGAACAAAUGUGUAAGUAACUAUGCACGUCUUGACGGUACCUAAUCAGAAAGCCACGGCUAACUACGUG
rnacentral:rRNA from 1 species